UUCUGUUUCUCGCUAAAUGUGGUAGUAACUGUGAGAUGCUGGAUAUGUUAUCGAUUAUGCUGUGUAACUUUCAACUCUUUUGAAAUAGCUUACUAUUAAACACUUUUCAAAGAUGGCACAACAAAUUGUGUGCAAGUGCAGAGAGACUUCCAAUUCAAGGAAAAUUAGGGUUUGCAGUAAAAGAAGAUUGUAGUCGAUCGCAAUAUGGAAGCUGCUCCUUGCAGAGGAAUUAUUGUUGUCAUUGAUUGAAGGUUUGGAUAACGAAGUUUUAGUAGUUGAGUGGGAGUCUGAGUGGAGCACAUUCAUGAAGAGCUGGUGUGGAGUCAGUCUGAAAAGCCUGAACGUGACCACCACCACAGUAUGGACCUUACCGGCUACAGGUCUUACAAAGUCACUGGACCUCGAUGACCAGAUAAUUUGUCUUCAUGCCUACUAUCUACGCUAGGAAUGGACAUGACUGUUGUGAAGAUUCAGCUGGACCACAUCACCCAGCUAGAGCAUAUCAUUCAGCAAGAACGCAGGGGAUUACCAAGGAGCUUGUAUGCAUCAAUCCUGCGUGAUGGAGACGGAGUACACUCAUCUAUGUAUCAAUACAAAUAAUUCGCACACACACACAACCUCAGCAUUAUGCAUGUGUUUUAUGAACUGAUUGUAUUUGAUGGUUACAAGAGGCCAGAAUAUUGUUCACCGAAAAAGAAAGAAAAGAAGAAGGAAGGAAGAAAGAAAGACAGAAAGAGAAGAAUGAAGACGAAUAAGAAGAAGAAGCUAGCAGCGAGAGAUACAGAUCACCGAGUUCGAUCGUGUUUUGACAGGGAUUGAGUGCAGAUAGAGCUGAUCUCUCAUUUUUGUCUAGGAAAAUCCAUCAAUUGAAAGUAAUUGAAGUAAUGGACAUGAAUGAAAGACUACUUUGUCCACAAUUCUGAAUGAAAAAUCACAAUCGGUAAACUCCUUAGCUAUUGCGUUUCACAGGAUUUUGCAAGUAGGCAGAGGCACAACGCCAAAACCUUUCGACUGUCUGUUGGGUCCUGAAAAUCAUCGUCCUUGAGACACGCAAUUGAAUAGUUCUUGAUCUCAUUACUUCAAAGUUACCGAACACUCAACAAUGGUGGAUACCUUCACUCUUGUAUGUGAAUUAUCCUCAAAGAAAGAAAACCGAGAAGAGUCAACUGGGACCUUGAUCUGAGUAACACUUCUUUCAACUUUUCUUAUAAACGGCAUGCCACCAAGGUCAACCUACACAUCAUCCUCUCGUUGCUGCCAUUUCUCUCAUUCUCGAAUUGAAGACACAUCACCGAGACUACCUUGCUCAUACCGAUCAUUCCAUGUUUCGAUGCUUCGAUUCCCUUGCCACUUUCUAAUGGCUGACUCUCCAGCCACCGCACAUUCUGCAUCUCCCGUUGAAAGUCUUCGAGCUUUGUGGCAGAUUUUGCUUCUGUGGUAUAUUUUCUGUAACGGUUCGGAGAUUUUCCUGGUUUAGUUCAUCGGUAGUCACCGAUACCUUACUUUCCUCUAGCAAGAGAUUGAUUAGGAAAAUGAAUGCGAUCAGAUUUUCUUUGGAACUAGGAGUACAAUGUGAACUGAAGUAGCAGGUUGAUAAUCUGGCAUUCGAGCAUAGGAUGGUGGGGUGAUUCCAACAGUUUCAAUCUAAAGCUUUGUUCAAGCUUUUCCUGGAAUGCUGUGUUAAUUGAAGGGCAAUCAGAUUGAACACUGCAAUCUGCCAGUUGUAUUCCCGAAUAAAUUAGGUUCUCCAGUUUUCAUUUAGCUUUCAAAGGUUUUCGAAUGCCACUUCAGUUUUAAUGAAUUCAAUGAAGAAGUGUCACAUGUUUUCCAUGAAGUUAGAUUGCAAAGUACAGGUGUCUCAAUAUUUACUUUGAAGGGUUUCACUCAAGUCUGAUUGUCUUGUAUUGUUUUGUUGGACACAAAUUGUGACUUUCUUUACUAAUACUCUGCUCACUGUGCUUGGAAGCAUGUUGAUUCUGCAGCGAACAAUGAGAGCAUCAUGAUAACGGAAACUAAUUGCAGUUUUCUGUAGUCGUCCAACCUGUUGAAAUGCGAUGCUGAGGAAUUUUGGUUUCUUGGUUGCAGAUUCUUUUCACUGUUGGCUUUGAGUGGGAAUUAGUAAUGAAUGCAUGUGGGCGCCAACAUCGUAGAAUCAGAGCACUAUGAAAUGAUUACGACGUAGUGUCAAUGACCUUUCGUCAAGAGCGAGUAGGUCCUGGAAGAAAUGAGCUAUGGCCAGAGCCAAUGGUCCCAUUAUAACGCGUUCCACCGUUAAGCUUUAGGGAGGUUGCUUGCGACAGGAGAAACUAUCCUCUCGAAGGAGACAUCGUCCUAGCAAUCCAAAGUGCACUUUAGUUUCGACGUUGGACAAUUUUUCUUCGUAGUGUUGUGUGGGUUGUGAUAGAUUUUAACAUUACUCAGGUAGGGACAAGAUCAGAGAAGUGACAGCAGGUUUUUGCAAAUGGUAUGAGAGACAUGAGUAGAGAAAUUAGGUUUUUUCUGAGGCUGAGAAUCUCACUAGCCCCAAAAAUGAGAACAAAUUUGUCGAACACAGUGGAGGACCGAAGAAUUGCAGGGAAGGAGAUGGGUCAAUUACUUGUAGUAACGGGAUCAAGCUAGAGCAAGAGGACAGUGACUCUAAGGCGAGGAGCAUCAUGAGAGUGCUGGGUCCUUGGACAGCCUGGUUUCAACCAAUCCUCAUCCAGUGACGUUUCUUGUCAGAGGAGUUUGACUUCUGGUGUGCAUAUUUUACCCCUUGUCAACGUUGACAGAAUAGAUGAGACGUCGUUUCUCAAGAUUUGGCUGUCACGUUGACAGUUACAGAAACCCAAUUUAAUUUCCUGAACCACAAUUUUUGUACGUACGCCAUUUAAAGAUUAAACAGGGCCUGCUUUUACAAGAACUUCAUGCGGCUACUUCAGACUGUGGAGCUGAUAACUCAUUUUAAUGUGCUUCCAUUGUUACGGAACACAUUUAUGAAAUGCUGAUAAUCUUGCUGCUGGUUGCAGUCAUUCGUAUGCAUGAAGGAUUUUCUAAUUUAACUAUUUGGUACCUGCAUGUGUAGAAAGAUGAGUGACAUACGAAUCUAUGUUUGUUCACUAACAAGCAGGUGGCAACUGGUGGUCUUCAGCGAGAAGAGCAUGAUGUAGACAAAAUGAAUAGUGCUGAUAGAUAAUAUUAUGCUUUCUUUGUGCUUCAGUCAAAGCAUGAUUACCUUCACUUGUGUCUGAGCUGAAAGCUAUUUUUUCAGGAUCUUAUGUGCGUCAUGGACACCCCGGGAUACUACUGUUUGAGGGUGAAUGACUUUGGUUCGAAUGGAUUCUGUUUGAGUAGGGGUAUUUGAGCAACAAUUGCUGUCUUCGUGGACAAUGGCUUACUGCCAGCUCCAUCCAAGAUGGUGGUGGAAGGUCGUUUUGAUUUGCAAUCUACACCUACUGUGGAUCUUGCAAAUUGAAUUCUAUAAUACAAAGGAAUCUAGGUUUGGAUGAAGAUAGAUAUAUUUUGACGAAAAGAAUCAUGCUAAGGUUCCUCCAAGUCUACAAAAGUCCAAAGUUGGUAAAAUUAUGCAGUGUUUCAUUAAUUUCACUACGUUUAUCUGACAACAACUAUUUGUGAUGGACAUGUGUUGAACACCCACAAGUCAAAAGUAUCUUGCUGUUAGGAAAAUUGCUCUAGCCACACAUGUGUGGCAAAUUUGUUCUGUAGUAUUUACUGGGAAAGAUGAUGCAAGGUAGAAAACAUUGGGGGCGGUUGGAGUUACUGAUUAGGGAAUCUCUUGUACAAUUUACUUCAGCCUACCAAGACUAGUUAUACUCUCUACUAUUUUCCAAAAUGGUUUGGUGUUAAGGGAGAUUUUAUAUUUAAAAUCUGACCUUAAAAGGCCAUGGUUUAUAAACAUUAACAAGGUUUUUUCUUGGUAAAGAAAAGUUCUUCUAUA